UACAGAGGUGGCAAGCGUUGUUCGGAUUUAUUGGGUGUAAAGGGCAGGUAGGUGGUCAUGUAAGUCCGCUGUGAAAUCCCAGGGCUCAACCCUGGAACUGCAGUAGAAACUACACGACUUGAGUGUCGGAGAGGUGAGGGGAAUUCUCGGUGUAAGGGUGAAAUCUGUAGAUAUCGAGAGGAAUACCAGUGGCGAAGGCGCCUCACUGGCCGACAACUGACACUGAGCUGCGAAAGCAAGGGGAGCAAACAGG
rnacentral:rRNA from 1 species